rnacentral:rRNA from 1 species
AAUUAAGCGGAGGAAAAGAAACUAACUAGGAUUCCCUCAGUAACGGCGAGUGAAGCGGGACUAGCUCAGGAUGUUAAUCUGCGCUCUAUGGCGCCGAAUUGUGGUCUGUAGACUUUGACGUUAUCUGCCGGGCCAAGUUCCUUGGAAAAGGACAGCUGAGAGGGUGAGACUCCCGUCCGCCUGGUAGAGUGAGUCAUGUGUCAACGAGUCGAGUUGUUUGGGAUUGCAGCUCUAAUUUGGUGGUAAAUUCCAUCUAAAGCUAAAUAUUGGUGGGAGACCGAUAGCGUACAAGUACCGUGAGGGAAAGAUGCAAAGAACUUUGAAAAGAGAGUUAAAGAGUACCUGAAAUUGCUGAAACGGAAGCGAAGGAAACCAGUGUUUGUUGGUUCAUAUUUCCCUGGCCACUUGUGGUUUGGGCGCUGUGAGCUUGCGUGUGUUUGCUUUGGUUGAUCCCUUUGGAAGAGCGCAGUCAGAGUUGAUGUCUGUUGCUAGCACUGGGUUUGACUAAUGCAGACGAAAUGGUUUUCUUUACCCCGUCUUGAAACACGGACCAAGGAGUCUAACAUAUGUGCGAGUACAGGGGUGUCAAACCCCGGUGCGUAAUGAAAGUGACAGUGGUUGGAUAUUUUGCACAAUCCGCCGGCCUCAAUCCUUCGGGAGAACGGUCUGAGUGUGAGCAUACAUGUUGGGACCCGAAAGAUGGUGAACUAUGCCUGAAUAGGGUGAAG